GUCCGCGCCGUAAACUAUGGAUACUAGGUGUUCGGAGCGUUAACCCUCUGAGUACCAAAGCCAACGCAUUAAGUAUCCCGCCUGGGGAGUACGGUCGCAAGGCUAAAACUCAAAGGAAUUGACGGGGGCCCCGCACAAGCGGUGGAGUAUGUGGUUUAAUUCGAAGCAACGCGCAGAACCUUACCUAGGCUUGACAUACCCGGACAGGCGUAGAAAUACGUUUUUCACUUCGGUGACCGGGAUACAGGUGCUGCAUGGCUGUCGU
rnacentral:rRNA from 1 species